rnacentral:rRNA from 1 species
ACCUUCGGGCCUCUUGCCAUCAGAUGUGCCCAGAUGGGAUUAGCUUGUUGGUGAGGUAACGGCUCACCAAGGCGACGAUCCCUAGCUGGUCUGAGAGGAUGACCAGCCACACUGGAACUGAGACACGGUCCAGACUCCUACGGGAGGCAGCAGUGGGGAAUAUUGCACAAUGGGCGCAAGCCUGAUGCAGCCAUGCCGCGUGUAUGAAGAAGGCCUUCGGGUUGUAAAGUACUUUCAGCGGGGAGGAAGGUGUUGUGGUUAAUAACCGCAGCAAUUGACGUUACCCGCAGAAGAAGCACCGGCUAACUCCGUGCCAGCAGCCGCGGUAAUACGGAGGGUGCAAGCGUUAAUCGGAAUUACUGGGCGUAAAGCGCACGCAGGCGGUCUGUCAAGUCGGAUGUG